rnacentral:rRNA from 1 species
GACGAACGCUGGCGGCGUGCCUAAUACAUGCAAGUAGAACGCUGAAGGAGGAGCUUGCUUCUCUGGAUGAGUUGCGAACGGGUGAGUAACGCGUAGGUAACCUGCCUGGUAGCGGGGGAUAACUAUUGGAAACGAUAGCUAAUACCGCAUAAGAGUAGAUGUUGCAUGACAUUUGCUUAAAAGGUGCAAUUGCAUCACUACCAGAUGGACCUGCGUUGUAUUAGCUAGUUGGUGGGGUAACGGCUCACCAAGGCGACGAUACAUAGCCGACCUGAGAGGGUGAUCGGCCACACUGGGACUGAGACACGGCCCAGACUCCUACGGGAGGCAGCAGUAGGGAAUCUUCGGCAAUGGACGGAAGUCUGACCGAGCAACGCCGCGUGAGUGAAGAAGGUUUUCGGAACGUAAAGCUCUGUUGUAAGAGAAGAACGAGUGUGAGAGUGGAAAGUUCACACUGUGACGGUAUCUUACCAGAAAGGGACGGCUAACUACGUG